CUGAUGCAGCGACGCCGCGUGAGGGAUGACGGCCUUCGGGUUGUAAACCUCUUUCAGUAGGGAAGAAGCGAAAGUGACGGUACCUGCAGAAGAAGCGCCGGCUAACUACGUGCCAGCAGCCGCGGUAAUACGUAGGGCGCAAGCGUUAUCCGGAAUUAUUGGGCGUAAAGAGCUCGUAGGCGGUUUGUCGCGUCUGCCGUGAAAGUCCGGGGCUCAACUCCGGAUCUGCGGUGGGUACGGGCAGACUAGAGUGAUGUAGGGGAGACUGGAAUUCCUGGUGUAGCGGUGAAAUGCGCAGAUAUCAGGAGGAACACCGAUGGCGAAGGCAGGUCUCUGGGCAUUAACUGACGCUGAGGAGCGAAAGCAUGGGGAGCGAACAGGAUUAGAUACCCUGGUAGUCCAUGCCGUAAACGUUGGGCACUAGGUGUGGGGGACAUUCCACGUUUUCCGCGCCGUAGCUAACGCAUUAAGUGCCCCGCCUGGGGAGUACGGCCGCAAGGCUAAAACUCAAAGGAAUUGACGGGGGCCCGCACAAGCGGCGGAGCAUGCGGAUUAAUUCGAUGCAACGCGAAGAACCUUACCAAGGCUUGACAUGAACCGGAAAGACCUGGAAACAGGUCCCCCGCUUGCGGUC
rnacentral:rRNA from 1 species